rnacentral:rRNA from 1 species
AGAGUUUGAUCAUGGCUCAGAACGUACGCUGGCGGCACGCCUAACACAUGCAAGUCGAACGAAGUAGCAAUACUUAGUGGCAGACGGGUGAGUAACAUGUAGGUAUCUGCCCUAUGGCCUGGAAUAACACGAGGAAACUUGUGCUAAUACCGGAUAAGUCUUUACGGAGAAAGCUUUAUGCACCAUUGGAUGAGCCUGCACUUGAUUAGUUUGUUGGUGGGGUAAUGGCCUACCAAGACUGUGAUCAAUAGCUGAUUUGAGAGGAUGAUCAGCCACAUUGGGACUGAGACACGGCCCAAACUCCUACGGGAGGCAGCAGUGGGGAAUCUUGCACAAUGGAGGAAACUCUGAUGCAGCGAUGCCGCGUGAGUGAAGAAGGCCUUUGGGUUGUAAAGCUCUUUCGUCGGGGAAGAAAAUGACUGUACCCGAAUAAGAAGGUCCGGCUAACUUCGUGCCAGCAGCCGCGGUAAUACGAAGGGACCUAGCGUAGUUCGGAAUUACUGGGCUUAAAGAGUUCGUAGGUGGUUGAAAAAGUUGGUGGUGAAAUCCCAGAGCUUAACUCUGGAACUGCCAUCAAAACUUUUCAGCUAGAGUAUGAUAGAGGAAAGCAGAAUUUCUAGUGUAGAGGUGAAAUUCGUAGAUAUUAGAAAGAAUACCAAUUGCGAAGGCAGCUUUCUGGAUCAUUACUGACACUGAGGAACGAAAGCAUGGGUAGCGAAGAGGAUUAGAUACCCUCGUAGUCCAUGCCGUAAACGAUGUGUGUUAGACGUUGGAAAUUUAUUUUCAGUGUCGCAGCGAAAGCGAUAAACACACCGCCUGGGGAGUACGACCGCAAGGUUAAAACUCAAAUGAAUUGACGGGGACCCGCACAAGUAGUGGAGCAUGUGGUUUAAUUCGAAGAUACGCGCAGAACCUUACCAACACUUGACAUGUUCGUCGCGACUCUAAGAGAUUAGAGUUUUCGGUUCGGCCGGACGAAACACAGGUGCUGCAUGGCUGUCGUCAGCUCGUGUCGUGAGAUGUUGGGUUAAGUCCCGCAACGAGCGCAACCCUCACUUUUAGUUGCCAUCAUUUAGUUGGGCACUCUGAAAGAACUGCCAGUGAUAAGCUGGAGGAAGGUGGGGAUGACGUCAAGUCCUCAUGGCCCUUACGUGUUGGGCUACACACGUGCUACAAUGGUAUCUACAACAGGAAGCAAGACGGUGACGUUAAGCAAAUCCUUAAAAGAUACCUCAGUUCGGAUUGCACUCUGCAACUCGAGUGCAUGAAGCUGGAAUUACUAGUAAUCGUGGAUCAGCGUGCCACGGUGAAUGCGUUCCCGGGUCUUGUACACACCGCCCGUCACACCAUGGGAGUUGGUUCUACCUUAAGGCAAGGUUUAAAACCCUUGACCACGGUAUAGUCAGCGACUGGGGUGAAGUCGUAACAAGGUAACCGUA